GGCCGCCUGGCGAAAUGGCAUCGCGUCUGACUACGACCCAAGAAUAACUUGAUCUUAUUUGUAAUCAGGAGAUUGCAUGUUCGACCCCUGCGGUGGUCA